rnacentral:rRNA from 1 species
CAAUAGCGUAUAUUAAAGUUGUUGCAGUUAAAAGCUCGUAGCUGAAUCCGGGGAGAGGCCGGGGUUAGUUGCUGCGUGUAAGAGUUAGGUUCGGUGUCAAAACCUUCCCAGCUUCCAUAAGCGAUCGGCAUGUCACAACCCGCGCCACGACCCAAACAGUCGGUAGACCCGGGGUGCUCUUAACUGAGUGGUCCGUGGUGGCCGGCCAGUUUACUUUGAAAAAAUUAGAGUGCUCAGAGCAGGCCGGUAGAGCCUAGAUACUUCAGCAUGGAAUAAUGGAACAGGACUUCGGUCCUCUUCAGUUGGUCUUCGGGACGCGAGGUAAUGACCGAUAGGGACAGACGGGGCAUUCGUAUUGUGGGCUAGAGGUGAAAUUCUUGGACCCUCGCAAGACGGACAACCGCGAAAGCAUUUGCCAAGAAUGUUUUCAUUAGUCAAGAACGAAAGUCAGAGGUUCGAAGACGAUCAGAU